rnacentral:lncRNA from 1 species
UAGAAAGGCAAUACUCUAUGUAUGCCAUUUAUUAUUUAACACCGAUCAUUGAACUCAUUAAUCCUUCUACACAGGAAAACAUUAAUAUUCACAUUAAGUGGACUAAAUAGAUUAAGUUACAUUAUGCCAGACAGAGUCGGGAUGAAUGAGUUUAGUUUAGGCUCAGGUUUGGUCAUCAAAUGAAUCACCAAAAAAAAAAAAAAAUUUGUUUUCAGAGCUUUCUGGAUUUCAGAAUUUCAGAUAAGGGAAUGUAGGUCUCGGCUUCUGUAUUUCACAGGGAGGAGUAGUCCGAGUAGGUGCCUGGAAAUAGGGUCUUUGUAGAUGUAAUCAAGUUAUGAUGAGGUCAUUAGGGUGGGCCCUGAUCCGAUACAAAGUGUGUCCUUUUGAGAAGAGGAAAACCGGAGCGUGAAACUGAUGACCGUGAGCUCCUCUGAGGGUCGGUGAUAGGACAUCCAAUUAGAGAGCUGCAGAGGAGGAGGAGUACCAGGCCAUGGAAGGGGUUGGAGGCUAGAAGGGGCUUUCCAGGCAGAGGGAGCAGAGUUUUCAAAAGUCCUGUGGCAGGAUUGAGCGGUCAGGAAGCUAAAAGGUAUUCUAGAAAACCCUUUGCGAAUAAAGUUUAAAGCUUCCCCAAUUUAAACAGAAAUGGAGCCCUGCCUAAAUGUAAAAGGCUACUAAGUAGAACUUGCUUAUUGUGGCAGACAAGCUGUGGGGUUCUGGCCAGUUGUCUGCAUCCGUCUCUGAGAAUUCUUUUCCUUCAGCCACGGGGGAAGGAAGGCCCCUUCAGCCUAAUGGGACCUGCGUAAGCCCACCCCUCUUCUGCAGCUGUUCGGCCAGGAGCGAGCUUUGGUUGGCUUCUUGCCGCUUAAAUAUUUCUCUCUCUCUCUCUGAAUCAAGAAACAGAGAUGAGAGAGUUGGCCGUUUAGUUACUUUAAUGGCGCAACUUUAGAAUGUCUAGACUUCUGCUUCAGAGAGAUGCCUGGCUCCUACCUUCUGAUAAGGCUGGCAGGUCGGGUGCCUCUGGAAGCUGGCCCUGAGACAAGGAUUUGAAGGCUGUUGUGCGGAUUACAGGAAAUAAUGCUGUAAAGCAAGGGUCUCCAACCCCAACCGCACCGCCCACCCCGUCCCCCGCCCUGGUAGCAGUCUGUGGCCUUUUAGGAACCAGGUCACACAGCAGGAAGUGAGGAGUGGGAGAGCCAGUGAAGCUUCACCUGUGUUUACAGCUGCUCCCAAUUGCUCACAUUACUGCCUGAGCUCCGCCUCCUGUCAGAUCAACUGCGGCAUCAGAUUCUCAAAGGAGCACAAACCCUAUUGUGAACUGCACAUGCAAGGGAUCUAGGUUGUUCACUCUUGAUGAUAAUCUAAUGCCUGAUGAUCAGUCACUUUCUCCCAUAACCCCAAGAUGGAACCGUCUAGUUGAAGGAAAACAAGCUCAGAGAUCUCACUGAUUCUACAUUAUGGUCAACUCUGCUUCAUUGUGGGAAGGGACUACCCAAGGGCAUGUGUACUAGAAGCAUAAAAAUCUGUGUUUUGGGAUUCGAUGAACUCUUGGAAAGCAUUUUCUGUUUCCUGCUGAUUGUGGAAGCUGUUUCCCUGCAAAAAGUUGUCAAGAUGCUUGAAGAAGUGGUAGUCAGUUGGCGAGAGGUCAGGUGAAUAUAAUGAAUGAGGCAAAACUUCAUAACCCAAUUAGUUCAACUUUUGAAGGGUGGGAUGUGCAAUGUACGGUUGGGGAUUGUUGUGUAGAAGAAUUGGGCCCUUUCUGUUGAUCAAUGCCAGCUGCAGGCAUUGCAAUUUUCAGUGCAUGUCAUCAAUUUGCAGAGCAUACUUCUCAGAUGUAAUGGUUUCACCGGAUUCAGAAAGCUGUAGUGGACCACACUGACAGUAGACCACUAAACAGUGACCAUGACCUUAUUUUGGUGCAAUUUGGCUUUGGGAAGUGCUUUGGAGCUUCUUCUUGGUCCUUCCAUUGAGCUGGUCAUCAUCAACUGUUGUAGAAAAUCCACUUUUCGUGGCACAUCACAAUCUGAUCAAGAAAGGGUUCAUUGUUGCGUAGAAUAAGAGAAGAUGACAUUUCAA